GACUGGCAUCUUUCCUUCUAAUAUGCACAGGAGUCCUUUGUUUUUCAUAGUGUGAUAGCUCAUUUCUUCCUUUUUUCCCCUAAAAUAUUUGACUCAAUACCUAUAGCAGAGCCUUCUCUCCCAGAAACUGUGGGAAAAUGAGUGUCCUAGUUAACUUAAACUGUCAACUUGGUACUCAUAGACUCCUGUAUUUUAGUGUUUGUUUGAACCCAGUUGGUGGAACUGUUUUGGGAGGGACUAGGAGGUGUGGCUUUGUUGGAGUAGGUGUGGUUUUGUUGGAGGAAGUAUGUCACUGGGGAUGAGUUUUGAAGGUUCAAAAGCCUAUACCAAACCAACUUGCUCUCUCUAUCUGCCUCCAACUUACAGAGAAGAUGUCAACUCUCAGCUACUGCUCUAGUGCCUGCCAGCUGCCAUGCUCCCCACUGUGAUGGUCAUGGAGUCAUCCUCUGAAGCAGCACUUCACCGAUGGACCAUCUCGCUCUCCUCUGACUGCUUCCCACACCAGUGAAGUUCUUGCUCUCUGGCCUGUUUUGCCUGUCCAAGUACAACUGACAAACUGAAAUCCAGGCUAGAUUCCCAAGGCUUCUACUGGUUUGGAGUAUGUGAACAACGUCGUGGCUCUUGCUGUGCAGUGGGACGGUGAGCUUACCGAUGAUCUCCACUGGACUGCGACCCUCCGAGGGCACGGCUGCUGGACUGCGACCCUCCGAGGGCACGGCUGCUGGACUGCGACCCUCCGAGGGCACGGCUGCUGGACUGCGACCCUCCGAGGGCACGGCUGCUGGACUGCGACCCUCCGAGGGCACGGCUGCUGGACUGCGACCCUCCGAGGGCACGGCUGCUGGACUGCGAACCCUCCGAGGGCACGGCUGCUGGACUGCGAACCCUCCGAGGGCACGGCUGCUGGACUGCGACCCUCCGAGGGCACGGCUGCUGGACUGCGACCCUCCGAGGGCACGGCUGCUGGACUGCGACCCUCCGAGGGCACGGCUGCUGGACUACAACCCUCCGAAGGCACGGCUGCUGGAUUUAGCUUGACCUUUAGCACCUGGCAGGUGGCCCAGGCAUAUCCACACUGUGCUCCCUGAACCUCGGCAUGGGUUUGAUACAGAUGUUCCAUCGAGGACUGGGCACUCAACUGUCACUUACCCUCAACACUGUGACCACGUGUGAGCAUCAGCACUAACUGGCACCCAGUGUGAAACUGAGCUUCUCUGGUGAAGGCCGACAGCAGCAUUGCUAUGGGUGUGCAUUCAGAAGGCAGCUUGAUAGCAUGCCCAUUUAGCAAAAUGGCUAUGGUAGAUUACCCCUAGGGCCUUUGACCUUGCCAGCCACAGGCUCUUGACAAAGUUGGCCUCAGUUCCAAAUAGAAAACAAUUGCUUACUCAAAAUAGUCAUGCUAUGUAGUCUCCCCUCCCCCAGCCUGAAACUUGCUGGCUCUGGGGUGGAGCUUCCUGCUCAUUCGUUCUGCCACGCCCACUGCUAGAACCUGCCGCCUUGCUGUUCCGAAGCCAUCACGUGCUCACCCUGCUACUGGACUCCGAGAUUAUUUGGUGGGAAUCGGGUCCCCUCCCCCUUCCUUCAUAACUGAGUGUUGCAACAGUAAAAAUUGAGCUUUGAU
rnacentral:lncRNA from 1 species